CCUACGGGAGGCUGCAGUGAGGAAUAUUGGUCAAUGGACGAGAGUCUGAACCAGCCAAGUAGCGUGAAGGAUGACUGCCCUAUGGGUUGUAAACUUCUUUUAUAUGGGAAUAAAAUGUUCCACGUGUGGGAUUUUGUAUGUACCAUAUGAAUAAGGAUCGGCUAACUCCGUGCCAGCAGCCGCGGUAAUACGGAGGAUCCGAGCGUUAUCCGGAUUUAUUGGGUUUAAAGGGAGCGUAGGUGGAUUGUUAAGUCAGUUGUGAAAGUUUGCGGCUCAACCGUAAAAUUGCAGUUGAAACUGGCAGUCUUGAGGACAGUAGAGGUGGGCGGAAUGCGUGGUGUAGCGGUGAAAUGCUUAGAUAUCACGAAGAACGCCGAUUGCGAAGGCAGUUCACUGGACUGCAACUGACACUGAGGCUCGAAAGUGUGGGUAUCAAACAGGAUUAGAUACCCUUGUAGUC
rnacentral:rRNA from 1 species